UUUGUUUUCGAAAUAUGAUUUUGAUAUGUGUGCAUCACUCAUUAUGAAAAAGAGUUGUUCUGAAAACACCUGAAUUAUGGUAGACUUCAAUGUGGCCAUACAAAACCGUUCCAUAUUUGGGUGUAUUGGCGAAGUGAUAAAUGUCUACCCAUACAUAACUAUUAUGUGUUUAGGUGUAUGGAAAAACAAUCUGAUUUGCGUGCCCUAACCGUUUAAUAUUUGGAGGGUAAUAGUGUUUCAAGGAACUCAUAUAUACCAUUCCGUGUUCGGGUAUAUA
rnacentral:lncRNA from 1 species